rnacentral:rRNA from 1 species
CACGGAGGAUGCAAGCGUUAUCCGGAUUCAUUGGGUUUAAAGGGUGCGUAGGCGGGCUAUUAAGUCAGUGGUGAAAUCCUGCAGCUUAACUGCAGAACUGCCGUUGAUACUGAUAGUCUUGAGUUUGGUUAAGGUAGGCGGAAUGUGUAAUGUAGCGGUGAAAUGCUUAGAUAUUACACAGAACACCAAUUGCGUAGGCAGCUUACUGAGCCGACACUGACGCUGAGGCACGAAAGCGUGGGGAUCAAACAGGAUUA